rnacentral:lncRNA from 1 species
CUACCGUGCUCGAUUCUUCCCUGCGCGUCUCCUCCGCUUGGAGCUUCCUGCGCUCCCUGCGUCCCUCUGUGGCCGGAACUCCCUUCAUGGCCGGAGCUCGGACGGCGCUCGGUCCUGCCGCCUGCCCCAACGUCGACUAUCUCCAGCUCGCCCCCGACCUCUUCUCUCCCUGUCGCGUCGCUCUCUCUCUGCUCGCUCUCCUCCAUGGCCGCCGUGGGCUCGCCGGCGUGGUCCGUGUCCUGGCCGCCGUGGUGCCGCGUGCCCAUGUGCCAGCGCAUGCCCAGCUCCUCUCCGUCUGCUCGGUCUUCUUCCUGGAGCGAGCUCUCUUCUCUCCCAUGGCGUCCGGCAUUUCUCCCUGUCGCUCCUUCCAUGCCGCGCUCGGACUGAAGCUUCCCUACGCGACCUGCCGAGCCUCUUCCUCUGCCAAGUCCCUUUCCCCGCAAGCCCCUGCCCUCUCUCUGUCAGCCGCACGCUCUGCGCCCUGGCUCCCUCGCCAUCGCCGGAGUUCUUCUGUUCGGCUCCAGCUCGAUUUGGUCUUCAGCUUUCUGCGCGCGCGAAUCCGCCGUCGCGUCUUGCUCUCUGGUGGUCGAGCUCGUUCAGCUCGCCUCCUGUCUUCAACCAUGGAUGUAGAUGUCGGCCGCCCUGGAUUGUUCGCAAACUCCGCCGCUUGAUGCCGCGUCUCCAGCACCAGUGUCCCUGCUCCCUGUUCCUCCAUGGCUGUGUCGCGCGCGUUUCGUUGUUCCUGCGCGUGCUAUCGUGAAGCUCUUUGUUCGUCGUCAUCGCUCGGUCGCACGACAGGCUGAUUGCGUGUCAUGUGUCGCACAUCCUAGGUCCUCGUCGUUGGGUUUCGUGCGUGCUCGCGUUUACCGUCAAGUCGUCGAACCCGUCAUCCUCUGCUCAAACUCCACCUCACCAGCUCGCUUCAAACACGAUCUCGUCGUCAAGCUUCGCCUUAGCCUUAUCUCGUCGGUCACGCUCGCCAGAUGUUCGAUCAAGGACUUUAGCCGAAGGAUGUCGUCGUUCAGGCAACUACCAAAUCGAGUUGUGAUGUGGUACGUUGAUUAACCACGAGAUGCGGAGAACUUGAGUCAAGUCGACCCCAAGCGUGGGCUAAUCCGUAGGAUGAAGCUGAUGGACCAACCUGAAGAUGGUUAAAUCAAGCAAGUGCUCGAUCGAGGGAUACUCGUCAAGUGGUCGUCGCCUAACAACACUAACCUAGUGUUACCCAG